UCCGGUUCCCCAAUUCUUACAGUACAACUAAGAAAGAAGCAAUUCACCUUCAGGAAAAGCAGAUUGCAAAUUCCUCACUUCCUUCUCUUGGACCUGGGAAUCCACUGUUUGACAAUGAACGUAUAUCACACUUAACUUCUAUAAUGAGAAGUUCAUUGGGAGGUUCUGGCAGCUCAUGGCAUGCUGAUACUUGGUUGCCAAUUUUUGUAAUGAUGAAUAUGACACCGGUGACCGGUUGCCAUUUCAAUCCUGCCUUAAGAACUUCUUAUAAAUUAUAUCUGCAAACACUACUACAGAAAUCACUUUUUACCACGCUUCAAUUGCCACGGUUAUAGGCGGAACCGUGGCAAAAGGUCAGUUGCCACGGUUAUAAACGGAACCAUGGCAAAAGAGGAUAAUAUUUUAUUAAUUUUUUUAGGAACCGUGGCAAUAGAUUUAGCCCAGUACACUCGUUUUUUCCCUCCCACUCUCCAAUUUUUUCUGAAAAGAAAAACCCUAACCUUUCUCUCUGUUCCCUCUCUUCCUCUCUCCUGCUCGAUUUGUUCUCUCCGUUCUCUCUUCCCUCUCUAUUCGCUGCAAUCACUCCUCCUCUCCCUCUCGUUCUUUCAGCUUGCACCAGAUCUAUUCGGUUUCAUCGCAUUGUUCAUUCAGCAGAAAUAGAGCGCGGGAGAGAGGUUGGAAGAGAAGCUGAUAGGGAGGUUGGAAUCGGCAGUGGCGCGUUUGGAGGCGCUAUCCAUCGGAUUCCAGGGAGGAGGAGGAGGUGGCGACGUCGCUGAUGCGGCCACGGAUCCGUCCAUUAUUGCCUUCGACGACCUGAUGGGAUAGUAUGUGGCUAGGGUUUCCGCGGCUUCAGAGAAGAUCGGUGGACCGGUCCUGGAGGUCACUAAGUUCCAUCCGCUUGUAAAGUUCUUCACUUCUCGCGAUUCCCCUUCCCUCUCUAUACUCGCCCACGAGCCAUAGUUCUUCACCGAUUGAGCUCUAUCUCAGGGCGCUCUAUUUCUGCUGCUUCAUCUUCAGGUGUCAAGGGAAGCCUAUUCAAUUGAUUCUAUGCGUUAUUCAUGAACCAAGAAGGAACAUGACAGAUCAAGAGGAAGUAGCAGAUGAUUUGGCUUACCAAUUGCUCCAUGAAGUGCAGCGAGACAUUACUUAUUUGCAGGUCAAAAUUUCAGAGCUAGCCUGUGUAUGUGAAAAAGAAGGGGAGAAGAGAGAAAAAUGCUGAACAAAGUGGUUUGAUAACCUUUAUCAUCAUGAAUCAGGGCAGUAUCAUUCCCCUCUUUGUUGGUGUUUCCUAAUUUAGCUUCAUAGUUCCUUACAAUCUUUUCUGUUAGAAUUGCUGAUUGCUUUCCAAAGCAUUUCAUGAAAUUUAGAAAUCUUCGACUCUGAAAUUUCUCUUGGAUAGUAUUAGAGUAUAAGGCAAUUAUGCUUUGCUAUAUACAUUGUAACUGUUAGUUACAAGCUGGUUAAGUUUGUUAGUCAGUUGAGUUUGUUAUAAGUCAGUUACGGUUAGUUGCUAACUAUGGUUAGCCUAACUGUUAACUAUAGUCAGUUUAGUUAGCUUGCUAUGUAAGUCUCUCUCACAAUAUAAAUACUGAGAUACACUCUUGUAAUCUUCACCUUUCAAUGAAUAUUAUUUUCAGUUCAAUUCUCAGAUUCAGUUUGGGUUCUCAACAGAUAGUUUUAAUCUUAGUCAGGAUUGCAUGAUUGAAAGUAUUAGUGUUGAAUGUAAGAAGUGAUGGGAUAGUGCUAUGUUUUAUUCGAACCUCACUUGCUGGCUUCACGUUAUUUAAUGACUAGAAACUGAUUGAAGAUAUAACUGAGUACUUGCUUCUAAGCAUUUCACCUGUCUGACACAUGAUUAAAUGAAUAUUCAUGUUAUUAACGUUGGUUUGUGAUUUACUAAUCAAUGCAAAAGAUGGACAUCUACCUAGUUCUUGAAAACUGAUUUUCCAAAUCAUACUUGUAAAUUUCUCCUAUGCUUGUACUGAUUAAAUCUGGAAUAUUUUAUUAAAGUCGGUAAUCUGAAUAUAUGAUAUAUGCUUUGUGGUCUUUAAGAGGGUGAAGUCAUCUUGCAUUUCAUAUGUCUGACAGAAUGUGUAAAAUGAGCAAUUUUUCUUGUUCAGAUCAUUCAAAUAGGCCAUAAUUUUAUAGGAGAAGUGACUGACUGAAUACUUCUCUUUUUCUUCAUGUUUCUGCUGAAUUUAAGAUGAACAUCAAGAAGCAUGCCCCAUUCGAAGAAUGCUUGGAAUCUGGAAACAGGAUAACAUGCCUGGUUUGCAUAAUAUCCCUUUUCAUAUUCUUGAAAUGAUUAAAGAUGGUAUAAUUUCAGAGGUUUAUAGGAAGCAUCACCUUUUUCUUGGGGUGUUUUCUCCAUUCUCUUUUAUAAAUUGAUUCAAUUUAAAUAUACUCUAAUGUGGAAUGUUGAUGUGGUAUCUAAGUCAGAGGGAAUUGAUGAAGUCCUUCAAUAGAUAACACUUAUUUCCUGCUAGAUUUGUAUAUACCUGUUUGGAAGAUUAUAUCUUGAUGAGCUCUUAAAUAAAUGCUCUUCAAUGUGGCUGUGUUUGUGUUUUGUAAUUUUCUUUGUGUAAGCAAAGUUAAUAAUUUAAUAUUACUGGUUUCAGGUCAAUUGUUCUCUUCCUUCUUUCUACAGGUAAUAAAUCAAUAGUAUUUAUAUAGUAUUUAACUGAAAUGAACUCGGUCAGAUUUGAUCCCCAUCAACAUCUCCAUUAUGCUGUCAUUUUCUAUCACUUUUUAUUUUUUUAAUGAAUGGAUUGACAAGAGGCUGGUUAGCAAAGUCGGAAAAGAAAGUAUGCGCUCUCUCUCUUUGCACAAGCUCCAUUAUUGAGCAUAAGCAUAAUGUUUUUUGUUUCAGCUGGCUACCAUAGGUGUAGCUAUAGAUGAGAACCCAGUUAAUUGAUGUGGUUCUUUGAUGGAUUCUGUAUGGUUCAACUUUGUAUUUGGAUUGACUUGUGUGGCAGGUUUGGGCAUCUUCUAGGUGUUAAUCUCCAAAGCAUUGAGUGAUCCAUCAGGUUCUUUGUAAACCUUUACUAUCACUUCAUUGAGUGAUCCAAAGCAUUGAGUGAUCCAAAGCAUAGUGAUAUCAAGAGCGAUAAAUGAAAUAUUUUCAGGACGCUCCCAUGAGAAGGGAGAAGGUUGCAGCUGAUGUUCUGGGAAAAGAGUUGCUGAAUUGAAGAUAGAGUUUUGGAGUGAAAAGUUUCUUCCUAUAGGAGAUUCAAGUUUUGAAAACCCUGCAGCAGAAUGAAAAUGUAUUUGCUUCCAAUUUUGUUCCUUUGUGGAUGAAGCCAUUUUACUCAGAUUCUUCACUUGUGGGUAGUGUUGUUGAAAGUCUCAAAACUUCUGGCCUGCUUCGUGCUGCUGAAAUUGCAACUUCUUUGAGUGAUUCAGGACAAAAGUGGUUUGGGCAUCUUCUAGGUGUUAAUCUCCAAAGCAUUGAGUGAUCCAUCAGGGAACAAAGAUGACAAGGGGAGCUAUCUCCAUGAAGUGAUGCACAAUAGGAAGAUUUUUUGCAAGUUGUUGCAGGGCCACGUCUUCUUGCUCUUGUUGGAUCGCCCUCCUUGUUGCUUGUCAUCUAUGCAUUGUUCAAUUUUCUGGUUUAGGAUUUGGUGCCAGUGUUGAUUAGGCCGGUACUAAAUGUUGUAGUUUAAUAUUUUGUAUGUAUGUGCUGACUAUGAGGAUAAUAUGAUAUUUUAUAUAUAUUUUAAAUUUUCCUUUCUAAUGGUUGGAAUACCCUUUGUCUCUCCCGUCAAUUAAUUAUUGUUGAUAUGCAAGCAAUUGAAACUGAGAAAUUCUGCUCUAAAAUAUGCCACGAUUCCCCAAUUGACUGUGACAUUACAAGAUACUUAUUGCCACGGUUCCCCACUUGACCGUGGCAAUAGAUGCAACAUAUUGCCACGGGUCCAUGCUUGACCGUGGCAAUAGAGGCCACAUAUUGCCACGGUUGCCUUUUUUCACCGUGGCAACAGGCGAAGCAAUUGCCACGGUUUGCCCUUGAACCGUGGCAAUUGAGCAAUUGCCACGCAGGCUAUCGCCACGGUUGAACCGUGGCAAAAGGGCGUGCGGAACCGUGGCGAAAAGCCUUUUUUGUAGUAGUGAAAAGACUAUCUGAUUUAACUGAUCCUGUAAUUCUACCUGUUGACUUUACCUUCCAGAUUAUGUAAAGAAACCUUUUUGUCAUUAUUGGAAUGCAUCAUAUCUACGAUCUUGUGUACGCAGCAAUUCCAGGACCUACGCAACCUUUGGUUUUACUAGGCCAAAAAAUGUACAUGGAGUACCUAGAGAGAAACACUUCUGUCCAGGUUUGUUUUCUCUAUAUAAAAUGGGGUGGAGUGUAGAUUAUCUGGCAAACCUUGAGGGGGUGAAUGUAUUUUACCCUAAAUUUAAAUUAAAGAAAUCAUUGACGAACGCACUGUCCUGAUGCGUGCCAAAGUAUUCUGCUUUGAAUGCAGUACAAGGUGAUGAACACCAGGAUCGAUCUCACAAGGACUUGAUAAAUUAUUAAUUGAUAUUAGAGUAAAAUAAAGCAAUUAAAAAGGGGAUUUUUUGAUUGAUUUGAUAGAAUGUAUCAAACAGAAAUUAAAAGAGAUUUAAUUCAGAUAAAAGAAAGUGUUAGUUAUCGGAUUAUAACAUUCAAGUGCAACAAACCUUCAUUGGUUACAAAAGAUUAAUUCUUCCUUAUUGUUUCCCUAAUUCAUGAGAGUUGAUUAACUAAGCGAAAAUCAAUUCACAAUUUCCUAAACUAAGCGAUUAAGAAACAGUUACGAACUAACAUGAACUAAGCGAACAUGCAUCAACUCUUAUUUCUAAAACUACGGAAUUAAGCAAACCCUAGAUCAGAAAUAGAGAUGAAGAGAAUUAAUAAAGAAGAAAUUUGCAUUAAGAAUAGAACCUCAAGUUUGCAAACACAAGAAUAUUAAAAAUCCUAAGACUAACUAUUGAGUUUAGCAGCUCAUAUUAGAAAAGAUGGAGAGAGAUAUUAGGAGAAGGUGGAGGAGGUGAUGGUGAGAUGUGGUGAGGUGGUGAGGUCUAACAAAAGCCUAAACUCACUUAUUUGUACUAAUAAAUAAACUUGUUCAUCAAGUAACAAUCUUUGUUAUCUAAAUCUUUUCUAAAUCUUCACAAAAUCGGGCUCACAUAAAGGAGUAAGCUGCUGAACAAUCAGGCAUUCGGGAGUCCCACAAGAAGUCUGAAUCUUCAAUUGAGGUAAACAUGAGAGUUGUAGCUCUUUAAGUCAGCUUCGCGGGCCUUCAAUCGGAUCCUAAUUCGGAGUUCUGUAGCCCAAGAUAUGAUCAUUUUAGUGCAGACUGUUCCAGACUCGCAAGAUUAGCGACAACAACUUUGCAAGGCCAUUUUGACCAUGUUAGAGGCUUGUUCUUCAAUUGCGCUGAACAUGAAAGUUGUAGGGCUUCGAGUUAGCUUUCCAACGACAUAUUAUGGGCCUUAUUUCGAUAUUGCUAGCUCCAUAUUCAAUCUGUUCUAGCAAAACAGUCGUAGAAACUAAAAGUGUAGAAUUAAGCUCUUUUCCAUGAAUAAUCCAAAUAAACACCAAUGGUCAAAACAUGGCUAAGUCAUAACAAUUAAGCACAAAAAUGUAAAUAAUGAAGCUUAGAAAGACACACGUAAAGUGCAUCAAUUAUGCGCUUAUCAAUCAUACAAUACUUAAUGGAGGGUAGGAAUUAAUUUCCACUUUUAUUUCUUUGAAAGAUAAAUACAAGUAUUAUGCCAACCAUUUCUUCUUUGAACAUUAAGUACAUUUUGUUUUGGAUACUGUUAAAGAUCAUCUGGGGUAAGUUCUUUACGUGGUAGUGUGUAAUAUCUUAUUCAAGUAAUAGUAAUAAUAGUAUUUCCCCCCUUAAAUCCUAUAAAUAUUAGAAUCUGAUUUGAGUCACUCUAGCUUUAUAAAUUGCUCUUUUAUUUAUCUCUUAAUACCUUUUCAGCUUUAUUCACUUGGUUUUUGUGUGCUCUCUUCUUUCGCUAAGUUUCCUACUAUAUUUUCCUUCAUUUUUUUCCGUUAUUGUGUGAGGGAAACUAGCUUUGAUGCUUCAUUGUAAUCUUAUAUUUGUUCCCUUUUACUUUUCCUCAUGUUUUCGUAUGUUCUCGUGUCUACUUUUAGGGUCUACAAACAUCUCUCCUUCAUUCAUGUGACUCAAUGGAAAAACAAAGAUGUACCCAUUUAUCCUUCUGUAGAAUUUCCAAAUUUCAAUUCUUCAAGAUCGAAUGGGUUAGGAAUUAGUGGAGGUGGUUAGAAUGGGUAGGAAUUAGAGGAGGUGGCUUAAAGGGAUUAGGUAUAAGGGGAGGUGGCUGAAAUGGGUUAGGGAUGCUGGUGGUAGAAAUGACAUCUUAUGGGUUAGUAACUAUUUUACUUGAGGUACUUUUUUUUGCAGCAGGGGAUUGGCUUCUUCACAAGUUUGAAUGAGAAAAUCCAGCUGAGUAUGUGUUCACCCUGCCUUCAUGACUAGAGGCUUAGUGAAGAGAAGUAGUAGCUGAGGACACAACACAUUGUGGCUCACUGCUACUUAACAACUUAAAAUUACAUCCCUUGAUAAUUGUUCGCAUGUAUAUAUAUUGUUAUUGUUCUUAUUCUCAAAUACAUGAAUGUAGAGUUUUCACGUCCCACCCUUCCAUCA